rnacentral:rRNA from 1 species
AAAAUGCAGUCGAGCGGUAGAGAGAAGCUUGCUUCUCUUGAGAGCGGCGGACGGGUGAGUAAUGCCUAGGAAUCUGCCUGGUAGUGGGGGAUAACGUUCGGAAACGGACGCUAAUACCGCAUACGUCCUACGGGAGAAAGCAGGGGACCUUCGGGCCUUGCGCUAUCAGAUGAGCCUAGGUCGGAUUAGCUAGUUGGUGAGGUAAUGGCUCACCAAGGCGACGAUCCGUAACUGGUCUGAGAGGAUGAUCAGUCACACUGGAACUGAGACACGGUCCAGACUCCUACGGGAGGCAGCAGUGGGGAAUAUUGGACAAUGGGCGAAAGCCUGAUCCAGCCAUGCCGCGUGUGUGAAGAAGGUCUUCGGAUUGUAAAGCACUUUAAGUUGGGAGGAAGGGUUGUAGAUUAAUACUCUGCAAUUUUGACGUUACCGACAGAAUAAGCACCGGCUAACUCUGUGCCAGCAGCCGCGGUAAUACAGAGGGUGCAAGCGUUAAUCGGAAUUACUGGGCGUAAAGCGCGCGUAGGUGGUUUGUUAAGUUGGAUGUGAAAUCCCCGGGCUCAACCUGGGAACUGCAUUCAAAACUGACUGACUAGAGUAUGGUAGAGGGUGGUGGAAUUUCCUGUGUAGCGGUGAAAUGCGUAGAUAUAGGAAGGAACACCAGUGGCGAAGGCGACCACCUGGACUAAUACUGACACUGAGGU